CCGUGACCUCCUGCCAGCGGGCGUUCGACACUUCACGUGGCCUCAAGGUGCACAUGGCCUGGCACAAGCGUCGUGCUGACGUCACCGCCACUUAGUGGCGAAUGGCGGUUGUUGUUGUUGAUAGUGAUGAUGAUGGGGUGAUGAUGAUGUUGGUGAUGGUGACGAUGGUGCUGAUGGUGAAUCGCAGGGAUGAGGAGGCGUGGUGACGUGAGCGCGCACUGCAGGCAAAGGAGCGGCCACACGAACCUGCGAUUUGAACUGCACCGGCAACAUUGCUCACGCACGCCAACCUGAAC